AGCGAACGCUGGCGGCGUACUUAACACAUGCAAGUCGAGCGGUAAGGCCCUUUCGGGGGUACACGAGCGGCGAACGGGUGAGUAACACGUGGGUGACCUGCCCUCAGCUCUGGGAUAAGCCUGGGAAACUGGGUCUAAUACUGGAUAUGACUCCAUGACGCAUGUUGUGGGGUGGAAAGCCUUGUGCGGCUGAGGAUGGGCCCGCGGCCUAUCAGCUUGUUGGUGGGGUGAUGGCCUACCAAGGCGA
rnacentral:rRNA from 1 species